rnacentral:tRNA from 1 species
AUUAUUUUGGCAGAUUAGUGCGUUAAAUUUAGAAUUUAGAUAUGUAAAAAAUUACAAAUAAU